GAACAAACAAAGCCAUUGGCAGAGCCGGAGUAGAAGCUCAACCGCGGUGGUGCUCGCUGGAAACAGAAAAGAAAAUAAUAAUUAUUGAAGAGAACCCCCCGACCAUACCUGACUAUUCAGAUUCUAAAAUACUCCAGAUAAAACCACCGUAAUGAGACGAAAAGGGAAUCAAAAUCAGGACGAGGAAGAGUACGAGGAGGAGGACUUUGGUUCCAGAAAAGACGGACCCUCUUCGAAUCUCACUUCUAACAACAGCACUAAUAGUAACAUUAACAAAGAUGGGAAGAAUAUUGAUAAGGCUAAUGCAAUAAGAUCCAAGCAUUCAGUAACUGAGCAACGAAGGAGGAGCAAGAUCAAUGAGAGAUUUCAGAUAUUGAGAGAUAUUAUACCUCAUAGUGAUCAAAAGAGAGAUACAGCA
rnacentral:misc_RNA from 1 species